AGAGUUUGAUCCUGGCUCAGGAUGAACGCUAGCGGCAGGCUUAAUACAUGCAAGUCGAACGGGAUUCGAGGUAGCAAUACUUUGAUGAGAGUGGCGCACGGGUGCGUAACGCGUAUGCAACCUACCUUUAACAGGUGAAUAGCCCCGAGAAAUCGAGAUUAAUACACCGUAACAUUGCGAAGUGGCAUCACUAUGCAAUUAAAGAUUUAUCGGUUAAAGAUGGGCAUGCGUGACAUUAGCUAGUUGGUGAGGUAACGGCUCACCAAGGCAACGAUGUCUAGGGGUCCUGAGAGGGUUAUCCCCCACACUGGUACUGAGACACGGACCAGACUCCUACGGGAGGCAGCAGUAAGGAAUAUUGGUCAAUGGGCGCAAGCCUGAACCAGCCAUGCCGCGUGCAGGAAGACGGCCCUAUGGGUUGUAAACUGCUUUUGUCAGGGAAUAAACCUUUGUACGUGAUACAGAGCUGAAGGUACCUGAAGAAUAAGCAUCGGCUAACUCCGUGCCAGCAGCCGCGGUAAUACGGAGGAUGCAAGCGUUAUCCGGAUUCAUUGGGUUUAAAGGGUGCGCAGGCGGAUUGCUAAGUCAGGGGUGAAAUCCCACAGCUCAACUGUGGAACUGCCCUUGAUACUGUCAGUCUAGAGUAUAGUUGAAGUUGGCGGAAUGUGUCAUGUAGCGGUGAAAUGCUUAGAUAUGACACAGAACACCGAUCGCGAAGGCAGCUAGCUAAGCUAUAACUGACGCUCAUGCACGAAAGCGUGGGGAUCAAACAGGAUUAGAUACCCUGGUAGUCC
rnacentral:rRNA from 1 species